rnacentral:rRNA from 1 species
UACGGAGGUGGCAAGCGUUGUUCGGAAUUACUGGGCGUAAAGGGCGCGUAGGCGGCUUGGCAAGUCAGGUGUGAAAGCCCCGGGCUUAACUCGGGAACUGCAUCUGAAACUGCCUUGCUUGAGUCCUGGAGGGGGUAGUGGAAUUCCCAGUGUAGCGGUGAAAUGCGUAGAUAUUGGGAGGAACACCGGUGGCGAAGGCGGCUACCUGGACAGUGACUGACGCUGAGGCGCGAAAGCUAGGGGAGCGAACAGGA